rnacentral:lncRNA from 1 species
CUUCGGCCGAGUAAUCGCCUGUGCGGCCGCGUUUUAGAACCAUGGAAUUAGUAGGUUAUGUGAUGUUGACAAAAAAAAAAGGUUAUGUGAUUUAAAUCUUUUAAUAAUAAACCUGUAAGUGUGUGUGUGGUGGUGAAAAACAGAAAAGCAUAUGGUGUAGUUUUACGUCAUUCUUUGUUUACGUGGACAAAUAGGUUUGUAAAUAAAAUGGUCGGAAAUGGAAUUUUUAUUUCUUAGCAUUUUGGGUAAAUGAUAAGAAGUGAUGUUAAUGUCUAAUAUCUACCCUUUUUCUUUGUUUCAUGAAAUUAAUCCACGUGUGUGUUUUACAAUCUAUAAUAGGAUAUAGAUUGAAAUGGAGUCCGAUGAGUUGAUGGCGU